rnacentral:rRNA from 2 species
GACAGCGAAAGGCGUGGGAAGCAAACAGGAUUAGAUACCCGUGCUAGUCCCACGCCGUAGACGAUGUCAACUAGCUGUGGGUGCCGUCAGGCGUUAGUAGCGCAGCUAACGCGUGAAGUUGCCCGCGUGGGGAGUACGGUCGCAAGAUUAUAACUCAAAGGAAUUGACGGGGACCCGCACAAGCGGUGGAUGAUGUGGAUUAAUAGGAUGCAGCGCGAAAAACCUUACUUACCCUUGACAUGUCCGAUAAGCGGAAGAGAUUUGCCCGUUCUCGCAAGAGAACAGGAACACAGCUGGGGCAUGGUUGUCGUCAGUUCGUGUCGUGAGAUGUUGGGUUAAGUCCGGCAACGAGCGCAACCCUUGUCAUUAGUCGUUACGCAGGACCAUUUUAAUGAGACUGCCGGGGCCAAACCGGAGGAAGGUGGGGAGGACGUCAAGUCUUCAUGGCCCUUAUGGGUAGGGCUUCCCACGUCAUCCAAUGGUCGGGACAGAGGGUCGCCAACCCGCGAGGGGGACCCAUUCUCAGAAACCCGUUUCUAGUCCGGAUCCCAUUUUCCAAUUGGACGGCGGGAAGUGGGAAUCGUUGGUAAUCGGGGAUCACAAUGUCGCGGGGAAUACGUUCCCGGCUUUUGUCCCCCCCCCCCGCCCCCCCAGGGGAGUGG